GGAUAAGCAGAAAUACACUUAGUUUUCUGACAAGGUCGCAUGAUUCACCUAUCUACGGGAGGAUAAAGUUUGGUAAGAAAAAGGAAAAGGAGAUGAAUCAACUCACCCACGUCACUAAAUUCUGCUUGUCGUGUUCCCUUGUGGUAUCAAUAGCUCGUUUCCCUGUGAUCAACUCCAACAACACGACACCAAAGCUAUAAACAUCCGAUUUUACGGUCCAAGCUUGGCCAGCCCAAAGUCGGAGAGUUUUGCGUUAAAUUCCCUGUCGAGCAAGAUGUUGGAUGAUUUCAGGUCACGGAAAAUGACGGGAGGGUUGGCCUUAUCGUGCAAAUACUCCAGACCUUUGGCAGAAUGUACCGCUAUUUUCAUCCUCUUGCACCAAGCUAAUGGAGGUUGGUCUGGUGGAAGUUC